rnacentral:rRNA from 1 species
GAUGAACGUUGGCGGUGUGCCUAAUACAUGCAAGUCGAACGGUGACGAUUUUGUAGUAAUACGAAUGAAAUCAUAGUGGCGAACGGGUGAGUAACGCGUUGGUGAUCUGCCCUGAAGUGUGGAAUAACGCUCCGAAAGGAGCGCUAAUACCGCAUGUGCUCUCGGAGUUUAGAAAUCUGAGAGUAAAGGAUUUAUUCGCUUCAGGAGGAGCCUGCGUCCCAUCAGCUGGUUGGCAGGGUAAAAGCCUACCAAGGCAAUGACGGGUAGGGGACCUGAGAGGGUGGCCCCCCACAAUGGAACUGAAACACGGUCCAUACACCUACGGGUGGCAGCAGUAGGGAAUAUUAGAAAUGGACGAAAGUCUGAUCUAGCGACACCGCGUGUGCGAAGAAGGCCUUCGGGUUGUAAAGCACUUUUUGGAAGGAAUAGGAAGGAAGGUACUUCCAGAAUAAGUCUCGGCUAACUACGUG